rnacentral:rRNA from 1 species
GACGAACGCUGGCGGCGCGCUUAACACAUGCAAGUCGAGCGAGAACCAGUCCUUCGGGGCUGGGGACAGCGGCGAACGGGUGAGUAACACGUGGGUAAUCUGCCCUCGGCACCGGAAUAGCCCGGGGAAACCCGGAUUAAUGCCGGAUGGCCUCUCUGCCCCUCGGGGCGGUGAGAAAAGGUAGCUUCGGCCUCCGGCCGAGGAUGAGCCCGCGGCCGAUUAGCUUGUUGGUGAGGUAACGGCUCACCAAGGCGACGAUCGGUAGCUGGUCUGGGAGGGCAGUCGGCCACACUGGGACGGAGAGAGGGCCCAGACUCCGACGGGAGGCAGCAGUGGGGAAUCUUGCGCAAUGGGCGGAAGCCUGACGCAGCGACGCCGCGUGCGGGAAGAAGGCCUUCGGGUUGUAAACCGCUUUCAGGAGGGACGAAGCCACUCGGGUUAAUAGCCCAGAGGGUGACGGUACCUCCAGAAGAAGCCCCGGCUAACUACGUGCCAGCCGCCGCAGUAAAAC